UAGAGGUUUUUCAGGGUGGCAGCUGCUGAAUUAUCAGUGCCAGGAUGGAGAGUGCCUGUAUGCCCAACUGUAAUGUCUUAACUGAGACUGUGCAGGAGGUUGCCAUAGAGAUGCUACUUUACAUCUGAAUCCUGCUCGGUAGGACAAGGUUGAGGAGUUCUCUGAAAUCAAACUCAAUGGGAAUGCCUCAGUCAGCACUGCACCUGCUGCCAAGCUUACCGACAUGAGUUCAGUUCCCGGAUCCUCACGGUGGGAGAGGAGUAACUAACUGGAGGUGUCCUCUGGCCUCCUGGGAUUUCGUGUGGACUCAAGAGAUGUCACACAGUCUUAGCCAGAAUCAGAUCCAGAAAUGGCACACAGGGACACCGAGGACAACAGAGAAAACAUGGCUCCUGAUUCAAAAAGCAACACUCUUCUCUUGCGACUGAAACUUCACAGGGAGAAAAGCUGCUGCCGCACCAAGUUCUCUAGGGCCAGAGACUGAUGUUGCUCAGUUGUCAUGGAUCAACUGGAGAUCCAAAGGUUAGAGGCGUGGAGCUUCGUUUUUGUGACUAAGCGUUUUGUCUGGGCCCGAGGGAGGCUUUCAGGGUUUUGGUGGCAUACUAACACCUUGCUUGCUUGUGAGAGUUCGUUGUUUCUUGCAGAGUCCAUAUUGAAGUCUGAGUAAUGUAUGGAAAAGUGCUUUUAAAAGAAGCAUCCAGAAGAUUUAAAGUCUUCAGUCUUGACUGAGAUGUCACAGUGGUAGGCUCCAGGUGUUUCCCAGUGACAUCCUCUCCCUUUCCUUAGGUGGUAACUUCUGAUUUUUUUUUUGAGGUUCUGUUUAGAUCUUGCAAUUAAAAUGCUUCUCUCUCCCUCCCCCUCCCUCACCCCCCCCCCCCCCCCGUGUAUAAGUGUCUAGGGCUUCUUUGUCCUCCUUUCCCAUAUGGCCCUGUUGAAUAACUCUCUUUACACUCGAUUUUCACGAUUCCUUGUUUACUUAGUUGGUUCAUGGUAGAUACAUGGCUGAGCCCUGUUUGGGUUGCCCAGGCUCUGCCUCUAGCCAUUCUGGGAGUAACAUUUCAAACAAGAAUAUUAAAACAGCUACUGAACCACACUUAAGGCCAAUACACAUAUCUUAAACCAAGUGAUCCUCAGUUUUAAUCUUACCAGCAUUCUUUUCUCAAUCAUAACCCUGAACAAGGCACCCCAAAAGGUACCUUACAGUUUUAUUUCAAUUUCAGUAAAGGAAAUUCUUUAAGAUAAGGAAAGAAAGCAAACCAGUUCCUUUUUAAACUUAAAUUUAAGACUUUAUUUGCUUAAACUUUAAACCUGCUUAUAAAUUGCAUCCUUUGAACAGUGUCACUAAAUACAGUGUAUUACACAAACAUUUUAGUGUACUGAGACAUUUAAGUGCAUCUGCUAAUGACCACACUGGAAUCUGUCCAGUGUGUACUCUCUUUUACCUAAUAAACUCCCACUCGGCUUCACGUCGGCUGCUCCUGGAAUUCUUUUCUGUGCGUAAGUGAAGAUCCUAGCUACACCUGAGGAGCCAUCUCUAAGAGCAAUUUCCCAGGUUUUACAAGCCACAAGGUUGAGCUGUCUGCUACCUAGAAUAUCUGCAUACCCACUUCCUCCCAUAAGCUUCUAAUUCUAACAGGUACAAACAUGUCAUCCUCUGUGGAGCCCAAGAAUCAGGAGCCACUUCCAAAGCAAAAGCAGGGUCUGUGGGUAAGGCCGAAAGUUCCAUAUUCCUUGAGGAAAAGUUUGGAAUCAUGAAGGAAGAGGAAAAAGGAAGUCAGGAAAUUGAAUGGGAGGGAUAGGGGCAGAGCAGCUGGCCGGGGCUUCCUCGUGAAGCUAAAAGACAGUUUCAGAGAAAGCUCUUGGUUCCCAGUGUAGGUUUUUACCUGCAUGCAUGUCUAGUGAGGGUGUCAGAUUCCCUGGAACUGGAGUUACAGACAGUUGUGAGCUGUCAUGUGGGUGCCGGGAAUUGAACCCUGUUCUACUGCAAGAGCAGCCAGUGCUCUUAACCAUUGAGCCACCUCUCCGGCACAUGCAGUCUUAUUUUAUGAACCAGUGGAAGACUAUGCUGGGAAUAUUGGCCUCCACUUCUGGGUGUCAGAUGGAAGCUGAGGCUGUCUUGCUGUAUCUGUGGACACAGGUCUCCCUGAGCAGAAUAGGAGGCAAUUUCAGGACCACAGUCACCCAGGUGCCCAAUUUUUCUGUCCCACCCUAGCCUUGCUUGAAGCUCAGAUUGGCCUCCAGCAAUGGGUGGACCAGGGCAGGAUUGGUGGAGACUGAUUUAUGUGCUUAUUGUAUGCAGAUGAUCUGGUAAGAGCCACGGGCCUCUCCUUGACCCUGAGUUCUGACACUGAGCUGCAAACAUCUCUACCCUUCACCCACCUCAGGCUUUGAACACUUUGCUUCAGGCCCACCCAACAGAAGGAAGGAGUAGGAGGGUUAUGGGUGAAGAACCAUGAAAUACAGUCACUUCUUCCAGUCUGGGAUUGGCUUGUUUUUGUGAAGUGGUCUCUGCUUCGGCUUUCUUCUUGGAGCUAGGUGGUAAGGGGCAAGCAGGACACACAGGGAUGGCCAAAUGUACCACCCACCCCCACCCCCACCCCCAGAUCCUGUCUUGGGUGUCCAUGACGGUUCCCUUGCCUGGCCUGGAAUUUGAGUUUUUAGCAAACACUUUGAGUACUCCUGGACAGAGCAUUGCUCAGCAGGCUGAGGACUCCAGGCCAGAUCCAUCUUCCUGCCCUCCCUCCUCAGCUGGACUAAGACUCCCCUUUCCUCACUCUGAGACUACCAGAACGUCUUAUGUCUGGAUCCUGGAGCCUGCCUGGAAAUCAAGGCAGCUUUAACCUCAGAGGGAAGGCUCAUCAGAACAAAAACAGCACUUGUAAACAGCACUGUGUCAGUAGCUGGACCUUUCCCCUCUCAGUCACCCUGGGUCACUACUCUUUCCCCCUGAGGACAGGGAAGCCUGGCUUGAUACAGCAGAGGCAGACCUGGAGUUAUCUCUGGAUCCAGGUGUUUGAAGAGCACAGAAGGAGGAGUGAGAGAGGGUAGAGGAAGAAGGGGGAGACUUGAGACGGAGGGGGUGGAUUGAGGGAGGGAGGGGAUGUGUAAAAGAGGGAAGGAAGGGGAGGAAGACGGAGGAAGAGGGGGAGAGAGAAGAAAAAGGGAGAGCUGCUGGUGAGGAGAAAGGGGAGGAGAGAAGAAGGGGAGGGAGAAGGGCAGUGAACUGAGAAAAAUCUCUCCCAUUCCCGGUAUUUGCUUGUGCUCCAUUCAUUUGUCGGGCUUGGUCUGGGUCCACCCUCUCCACCAGGAAAUGCUCACUGUGUCCUUUUGUCCCUUAGAAUCAUUGUCCUCACCUUUCAGGCUCUAAGCUCAGGUGUAGUUCAGGUGCCCAAGGCCAUGUUGAUUAGUAACAGUGGAGACCGGCUCUGUCAGCUCUCUGUGACAAAAGGACAGAGUCAAAGAACAGACUGGCUCUUCUCUGACCUAGAAGAGCUGCAGCUCCACAGGAAGACCCUGUGAGGCACCUGACUGGCAGCGCACUCCAGACAGAGCUGCUUGGGAAGAGUGGGACCCAGGGAUUCAGCCCCCUGAAGAAGACACCUAGGGUCAGCAUCCUGGCGUAGCCCACAGCCCCACUGACAGGUUUAUUACCAAGCUUUACAGCUUCCAAGCUUAGUCACCCGCUGAAGUCAGGCUGCUCAGAAACAAACACAUAGCAAAGCUGUGACCCAGCUGCCUGAUCUGGGAGAGGCGACCCACCCUGGGCAAAACUGGCACAGAAGAGGCAGCAGGCUGAGGUCGGGCGAGCCACGCUUGUCCUUAAUCUUCCUUGUCUUUCCUUUGAAGCACUUAUGGUGUGAGAAGCAGAUUCCUGCAGACACCUGAGAAAGCCUAAUGCCCUAAGGGUGUGGGAUGUCCUGUUCCCCCGGGACUCCCCAGGGAGCUCAGCCUGAAGCUUGGAGAAGAAAAAGUUU